rnacentral:snRNA from 1 species
GUUCAUUCUCGGCCUUUUGGCUAAGAUCAAGUGUAGUAUCUGUUCUUAUCAGUUCAUCUCACUUUUUGAAAGGCUGGAAGACUUAAUACCUUGUAGUUAGCUUUUAUGACCAACAGAUGGCGCUUACUUUUUUGGUUUGAAAUGACUGCUUGGAUCUCUUCAGGGUUGCAAAAGGCAAGUUUUUGAGAGUGUAUAAAAUGCAUUCCAUUUAUUUUCUCUCAUAGCCCG